rnacentral:rRNA from 1 species
UCUGCCUACGGGACGCAGCAGUGGGGAAUAUUGCACAAUGGGGGAAACCCUGAUGCAGCGACGCCGCGUGAGCGAUGAAGUAUUUCGGUAUGUAAAGCUCUCUCAGCAGGGAAGAAAAUGACGGUACCUGUCUAAGAAGCCCCGGCUAACUACGUGCCAGCAGCCGCGGUAAUACGUAGGGGGCAAGCGUUAUCCGGAUUUACUGGGUGUAAAGGGAGCGUAGACGGUUCU